UCAGGAUGAACGCUAGCUACAGGCUUAACACAUGCAAGUCGAGGGGCAGCAUGAGAUUAGCUGCUAAUCUUGAUGGCGACCGGCGCACGGUGAGUAACGCGUAUCCAACCUUCCCCUUAGUAGGGCAUAGCCCGGCGAAAGUCGGAUUAAUACCCUAUGUUGUAUAUUGAGGACAUCUGAUUUAUACUAAAGAUUUAUCGCUAAGGGAUGGGGAUGCGUCUGAUUAGGUGGUAGGCGGGGUAACGGCCCACCUAGCCGACGAUCAGUAGGGGUUCUGAGAGGGAAGGUCCCCCCACAUUGGUACUGAGACACGGACCAAACUCCUACGGGAGGCAGCAGUGAGGAAUAUUGGUCAAUGGGCGCGAGCCUGAACCAGCCAAGUAGCGUGCAGGAUGACGGCCUUAUGGGUUGUAAACUGCUUUUAUGCGGGGAUAAAGUCACCCACGUGUGGGUGUUUGUAGGUACCGCAUGAAUAAGGACCGGCUAAUUCCGUGCCAGCAGCCGC
rnacentral:rRNA from 1 species